rnacentral:rRNA from 1 species
CCUACGGGUGGCAGCAGUGGGGAAUCUUCCACAAUGGGGGAAACUCUGAUGCAGCGACGCCGCGUGAGUGAAGAAGUAUUUCGUUACGUAAAGCUCUAUUAUCAGGGAAGAAAAUGACGGUAACUGAGUAAUUAACCCUGGCUAAAUACGUGCCAGCAGCCGCGGUAAUACGUACGUGGCAGGCGGUACCCGGAUUUAUUGGUGGGAAAGGUAGCGUGGAUGGCUGUGCAGGUCUGGAGUGAAAGGCGGGGGCUCAACCCUCAGACUGCUCUGGAAACUGUACGACUGGAGUGCAGGAGGGGUGAGUGGAAUUCCAAGUGUAGCGGUGAAAUGCGUAGAUAUAAGGAGGAACACCAGUGGCGAAAGCGGCUUACUGGACUGUAACUGACGUUGAGGCUCGAAAGCGUGGGGAGCAAACAGGAUUAGAUACCCGAGUAGUC